GACAGAGGGUGCAAGCGUUGUUCGGAAUUACUGGGCGUAAAGCGCGUGUAGGCUGCUCUGCAAGUCGGGUGUGAAAGCCCUGGGCUCAACCUAGGAAGUGCACUCGAAACUGCAGAGCUGGAGUCCUGGAGAGGAAGGCGGAAUUCUCGGUGUAGAGGUGAAAUUCGUAGAUAUCGAGAGGAACACCGGUGGCGAAGGCGGCCUUCUGGACCGAUACUGACGCUGAGGAGCGAAAGCGUGGGGAGCGAACAGG
rnacentral:rRNA from 1 species